CCUACGGGGGGCUGCAGUGGGGAAUAUUGGACAAUGGGCGAAAGCCUGAUCCAGCCAUGCCGCGUGUGUGAAGAAGGCCUUCGGGUUGUAAAGCACUUUCAGUGGGGAAGAAAGCCUUGGGGCUAAUACCCUCGAGGAAGGACAUCACCCACAGAAGAAGCACCGGCUAACUCCGUGCCAGCAGCCGCGGUAAUACGGAGGGUGCGAGCGUUAAUCGGAAUUACUGGGCGUAAAGCGCGCGUAGGCGGUCUGAUAAGCCGGUUGUGAAAGCCCCGGGCUCAACCUGGGAACGGCAUCCGGGACUGUCAGGCUAGAGUGCGGGAGAGGAAGGUAGAAUUCCCGGUGUAGCGGUGAAAUGCGUAGAGAUCGGGAGGAAUACCAGUGGCGAAGGCGGCCUUCUGGACUGACACUGACGCUGAGGUGCGAAAGCGUGGGUAGCAAACAGGAUUAGAUACCCUGGUAGUC
rnacentral:rRNA from 1 species